rnacentral:rRNA from 1 species
UACGUAGGGGGCAAGCGUUGUCCGGAAUCAUUGGGCGUAAAGCGCGUGUAGGCGGUCCGGUAAGUCCGCUGUGAAAGUCGGGGGCUUAACCCUCGGAUGCCGGUGGAUACUGUCGGGCUCGAAUCCGGAAGAGGUGAGUGGAAUUCCUGGUGUAGCGGUGGAAUGCGCAGAUAUCAGGAGGAACACCAAUAGCGAAGGCAGCUCGCUGGGACGGUACUGACGCUAAGGCGCGAAAGCGUGGGGAGCGAACAGG